GUGAGGAAUAUUGCGCAAUGGAGGCAACUCUGACGCAGCCAUGCCGCGUGCAGGAAGAAGGCGCUACGCGUUGUAAACUGCUUUUAACCGGGAAGAAACCCCAGGACGUGUCCUGGGUUGACGGUACCGGAGGAAUAAGCACCGGCUAACUUCGUGCCAGCAGCCGCGGUAAUACGAAGGGUGCAAGCGUUAUCCGGAUUCAUUGGGUUUAAAGGGUGCGUAGGUGGAGCUUUAAGUCAGUGGUGAAAUACUGCAGCUUAACUGUAGACUUGCCAUUGAUACUGGCGCUCUUGAGUGCGCUUGAAGUGGGCGGAAUGUGCCGUGUAGCGGUGAAAUGCUUAGAUAUGGCACAGAACACCAAUUGCGAAGGCAGCUCACUAAGGCGAUACUGACGCUGAGGCACGAAAGCGUGGGGAUCGAACAGGAUUAGAAACCCUUGUAGUCC
rnacentral:rRNA from 1 species